UCCCAGCGGCUCAGUCAGUAGAGAAUUGUGCUAACAACAAAGGUCCUGGGUUCAAACCCCAGAGGAC